rnacentral:rRNA from 1 species
AGAGUUUGAUCCUGGCUCAGGAUGAACGCUAGCUACAGGCUUAACACAUGCAAGUCGAGGGGCAGCAUGGUCUUAGCUUGCUAAGGCCGAUGGCGACCGGCGCACGGGUGAGUAACACGUAUCCAACCUGCCGUCUACUCUUGGACAGCCUUCUGAAAGGAAGAUUAAUACAAGAUGGCAUCAUGAGUCCGCAUGUUCACAUGAUUAAAGGUAUUCCGGUAGACGAUGGGGAUGCGUUCCAUUAGAUAGUAGGCGGGGUAACGGCCCACCUAGUCUUCGAUGGAUAGGGGUUCUGAGAGGAAGGUCCCCCACAUUGGAACUGAGACACGGUCCAAACUCCUACGGGAGGCAGCAGUGAGGAAUAUUGGUCAAUGGGCGAGAGCCUGAACCAGCCAAGUAGCGUGAAGGAUGACUGCCCUAUGGGUUGUAAACUUCUUUUAUAAAGGAAUAAAGUCGGGUAUGGAUACCCGUUUGCAUGUACUUUAUGAAUAAGGAUCGGCUAACUCCGUGCCAGCAGCCGCGGUAAUACGGAGGAUCCGAGCGUUAUCCGGAUUUAUUGGGUUUAAAGGGAGCGUAGGUGGACUGGUAAGUCAGUUGUGAAAGUUUGCGGCUCAACCGUAAAAUUGCAGUUGAUACUGUCAGUCUUGAGUACAGUAGAGGUGGGCGGAAUUCGUGGUGUAGCGGUGAAAUGCUUAGAUAUCACGAAGAACUCCGAUUGCGAAGGCAGCUCACUGGACUGCAACUGACACUGAUGCUCGAAAGUGUGGGUAUCAAACAGGAUUAGAUACCCUGGUAGUCCACACAGUAAACGAUGAAUACUCGCUGUUUGCGAUAUACAGUAAGCGGCCAAGCGAAAGCAUUAAGUAUUCCACCUGGGGAGUACGCCGGCAACGGUGAAACUCAAAGGAAUUGACGGGGGCCCGCACAAGCGGAGGAACAUGUGGUUUAAUUCGAUGAUACGCGAGGAACCUUACCCGGGCUUAAAUUGCAGAUGAAUUACGGUGAAAGCCGUAAGCCGCAAGGCAUCUGUGAAGGUGCUGCAUGGUUGUCGUCAGCUCGUGCCGUGAGGUGUCGGCUUAAGUGCCAUAACGAGCGCAACCCUUAUCUUCAGUUACUAACAGGUCAUGCUGAGGACUCUGGAGAGACUGCCGUCGUAAGAUGUGAGGAAGGUGGGGAUGACGUCAAAUCAGCACGGCCCUUACGUCCGGGGCUACACACGUGUUACAAUGGGGGGUACAGAGGGCCGCUACCACGCGAGUGGAUGCCAAUCCCCAAAACCUCUCUCAGUUCGGACUGGAGUCUGCAACCCGACUCCACGAAGCUGGAUUCGCUAGUAAUCGCGCAUCAGCCACGGCGCGGUGAAUACGUUCCCGGGCCUUGUACACACCGCCCGUCAAGCCAUGGGAGCCGGGGGUACCUGAAGUGCGUAACCGCGAGGAGCGCCCUAGGGUAAAACUGGUGACUGGGGCUAAGUCGUAACAAGGUAGCCGUACCGGAAGGUGCGGCUG